rnacentral:lncRNA from 1 species
UUCUUUUGCCGUAAAAAGUCAAGAGCAUUCACUUAGGGUGAGUAAGAAAUAAGUUGGGGAGAACGAAAAUGAGAAUCGGUAAGUGACACAACUCUUGAAAAACCGAGCAAGCAUUGAAAAAAAAUGAGAAAAGAGAAACAUCUGUUUUGUGAAUACGAUGUGAAAAGAAAAGAAAAAAAAAUAGAGAAAAUGAAAAUGAAUGCUUGCUUGGAAGAAAAAUAGUGAAAAACAAAAAUUGAGUUGUGAAAUAAGA